rnacentral:rRNA from 1 species
UACGUAGGGUGCAAGCGUUGUCCGGAAUUAUUGGGCGUAAAGAGCUUGUAGGCGGUUUGUCGCGUCUGCUGUGAAAUUUCGGGGCUCAACCCCGAACUUGCAGUGGGUACGGGCAGACUAGAGUGUGGUAGGGGAGACUGGAAUUCCUGGUGUAGCGGUGAAAUGCGCAGAUAUCCGGAGGAACACCAGUGGCGAAGGCGGUUCUCUGGGCAUGACCUGACGCUGAGGUGCGAAAGCGUGGGGAGCAAACAGGG